AAUGAGUGGGCUGGACAUGCCGAGAGAUGAGUUUCAGAUUGGUCUGCGGUGUAGCAUCUUGUGUCUAUAAAAUUAGCUGCUCGUUAUGCGUACAUAAUCCUUUUUACUGCAGUUGCUUUUCAAAAAUGUUGCUACUGCUCUCAAUAAAAUUGCUGCCCUGAAUUUAUCAGGCGCUAUCGACUACAGUCAGUGAUAAAACUUAAGCUAGCUAUGACAAUCGGUUUGUAUUGCUAGUACUCUAUUGCUUGGGAUUAUAGUUCAUUAUUUAGCUAGCUAGCUAACAUUAACGUCACAUGUCUAAACAAAAGACCCCAAGUUAAAGAUUGCUGUUAGCUAGCUGAGGUUAGAUGGCUGGCUUGCUAGCUAACAUUAACUUACGUGUAUGAACUGUGCAACGUUAGUGAUGUUCUCAGAAUGGCAUUUCACAUUUCUAGUUAUAUUAUAGCCUAAUGUUAGCUGGCUAACAUUGAACUUAUUUGGUAAACUUUUUUAUUUUACUUAUUUUUAUUGACCCUUUAUUUAACCUGGACAGUCAGUAAAGAACAAAUUAUUGUUUACAAUGACAGCCUACCCCGGCCAAACCCAGACAAUGCUGGGCCAAUUGUGCACCACCCAAUCGCAGCCGAAUGUGAUACAGCCUGGAUACAACUUUAGUUAGCUAUGACAAUCGCAUCAGUAGAACAUGCCUGACUCUCCUCCACCAGUCAUACAAGGAGAAUGUUCUAAUGCCUCCCAUCAAAAAGAGAGCUGGCCCAAGCAAGCACAGGUUACACCUGAAGCAUGAGGACAUGCAGUGAGUGGUGAACUUCAACAACUACGCAGAGGAUAAUGCAAUAGUAUUACCAGGACACCACCCAGGACACAAACUCUUCGGUGGAAAGCUGCUACCAUCCCAUGUGACAAAAGCAGCAGUGUGGCUCUCUACAAGGAAUCAACACUUUGGGGGCUCUACUGAACCAGCAAACAGUCUGGACCUUCACUUCCAAGAUCAAAGGCCACACCAAGUUUGCCCCCGACUGGUGCUUCGGCCUCAUCAAGCAGCGCCAGACCAGAGUGAACACUUUCUGAGAUUGCUGGUGUUGUGAAGGACAGCACUGUGACGGGGGUCAACAUCCCACAGCUGGUUGGACUGGAGGAUGAUACUGUGCUGGUGGAAAGCUAUGGCAGGCAACAACACUUGACUUCGUACUUCAGGCCGCUGCCACAGAUCAAGCAGUACCGGCACUUCAGGUGAAAAUCAUUUUCAUUGCAUUGUAUGAGGUUAUUCUUCUCUAAACUUGGGAGGUGAAUUGAUGUUGUGCAAUGCUGACAUCCUUCCUCCCAUAGAUGGUCUGCCUGUACAAGCACCACCUGGACUGGACACAGCUAGACAAACUUACAUUUUUGAGAAUAUUAUAUGGACAGAAACGUGUGGUUCGGACAGACCAGUCAUCAGCACUAUCUGCAGUGCCUCUAUUCAAAUGACUCUCCUAACAUACGUUGCUGCUACAAUUUUUUCUUUCCUGCUGCUCAGCCGCUUUAACCCUGAUUAUAUGCAUAUAGCUACCUUGUCUAUCACUGAUAUAAAUUGAUAUUGUUCUUGUACAUACUGUAUAUUUGAUUUAUAUUGACACUAUUUCUGAUAUUGCUACGAUGCAACUAACCAUUUGGCUGUACCGUUUACACGUUCUGUAGAGACCCAUCGACGUAGCAAAAUAUUGAUAUAUAAAAUUAAUAUUGAUGUGUGGUCGUGACAUACCACAACAAUAUCAUGUAACCGUAUCAAGUGUCCACCACAUAUGGCGCAUGCAUCUGUGUAUGUACUGUACAUGUGCACCUCACUUAGGUUUAACUCAGGUUGCAUGGCCUUACCUUGUAUGGAAUAAGUGCGUGUGUAACAGUAUAUAAAGUAUGCUAAUGUAUUGGUGUGAAGGCAUUUGGGCAAAGUACUUCAGUAAAAAUACUUUAAAGUACUACUUAAGUAUUUUGGGGGUUAUCUGUACAUUACUCUACUAUAUAUUUUUGCCAACUUUUACUUCAUUAGAUUCUGAAAUAAAAUAAUGGAAAUUUUCCCUGACACCCAAAAGUACAUUUUGACAGGAAAAUUGUCCAAUUCACACACUUAUCAAGAGAACAUCCCUGGUCAUCCAUACUGCAUCUGAUCUGGCAGACUCAAUAAACACACAUGCUUUGUUUGUAAAUUAUGGCUAUGCAUCAAUAAAAAAAAAAAAUGGUGCCGUUGGUUUUAAUAUGAUUUAUACUUUUACUAAAGUAUGACAAUUUUGUAUUUUUUCCACCACUGGAUGUGGCUGGGGGUUAUAGCAUUUCUUUCAAAUGACCCAUCAAUUUAGACAAGUGUGUCUGGGUAAGAGUCAUCUAAUAUUUAUCUGGACACCUGGAAUUGUUCCUUAUUGUAGGCUACUACCACUUUUAAUCUUUACUACACUACUCACUGUUUAGCAUAUGACGUCAUAUGUGAAUCCUUAAAGAGAUGGGUGGAGCUAGCUUAAGAGGGUGUGAACAAUGCUGAAUGGGUGUAGACAAAGGACAGCUCUCCAGUAGGUACUAAAAUAUUCAAGGCCCUUUUCUCAAAAGUCAAUUCACAAGUUCAACAACUUUCAAAGCAGAAUUACUUUACACAUUUUCCAAAAAAAUGCAGUGUAUGAUAUCAUUUUGUAGCUCUCAGUAUCUACUUUUACCCAAUGUAAAAAAAAAAAAAACUGAUUUCAAAUUUUGUUACAUAUUAUUUGAUUGUGAUUAAGACCCUAUCCUCAGUAGCCUAUUCCAUAUAUAUAUAUAUUUUUUUUAAUACAUUUUAGAUGAAGGCUGUAACGUAACAAAAUGUGGAAAAGGUCAUGGGGUCUGAAUACCUUCCGAAUGCACUGUUCCUCGAAAUUGCCUUGCUAUUCAUGUUGGAUAAAUUAGUCUCUCAAUUUGAACUAAGCAAGCUGCUAAAUCAUUCAGCGUACUUCUUGCCUAGGCUACUAUUGGCUAUCUGAAAUUAAAUGUAGGCCUAUCAGGGACUUUAGUCUACCUGCAUCUAGCUAAGCAAAUCGUGGCAAAGUUGAAGUCAGUAGUGGUCCAUGUAUCAUCUGUUCAUUGGUAAUUCCAUUCAAACCAGGAAGUAGAAAAACUGGAAAUAGUUAAUGUGUUUGGUUUCAGAAUUUUAUGAAUGAAAAUUGGAUAUCAACUAGUUUUUUGUUUAUGGUGUCCAAAUGGGGCAUCGAUUAACAGAAAAUAAAUAACGACUAAAUGUAUCCUGUUUUUCGUUUUGUAGUACACACACACUAAUAUAACAUUUACUGUGGAUAGUCGGUCCUUGUUUUUUUCAUUUAUUGGUCUUUUUACCUAUUUUGUUUUAUUUUUUUUAUUUUACGUUGAUAUUAUUAUUAUGAACAUAUCAAAUACAAAAACAUAAAUAUACAAACAAGAGGAAAUAAACCUGACAGGGGUACUACAUAUUCAAUUUGUCAAAAAGUAUUAUGGUGCAUAUUGCUUUAUUGUUUUAAAAUUUACUGAUAUAAUUUAAAUUUUAUUUAGAAAUGAUCUUAAAUAAUGUGAAGAGGGGUUUGUUCUCUGCCCACUUCUCCGAAUCUUCCAUGAAAAACAAACUUACAAUGAAAGUUAAAUCAGGGUCCAUCUCAUUUGGAUCAAAAUAAAACAAUAUCAGUCUCUCAAAUGAACAUUAAUAGCAGUUUAUUUUAAAAUUAAAAUAUUCUAACUCACUCCAAAAUCUUCUGACAUAAGAACAGUCCCAAAAUAAAGAGUUUCUGGGUCACAACCACAAAAUACACAUUUGUUAUCAAUAGCUAUUUUGAAUCUGUGUAUAAUAAAUGUCUUUACAGGGUGGAUUCUAUGAAUGAGUUUGUAUGAUACUUCUUUCACCUUAUUAGAUAUACAAUAUUUACCAGACAACAAUUCCAGUUCCAGUUCACUUGUUCUUAGGAUUCAUUCCAGUUAAUAUUAGCAGAUGAAAUAUUAAUAUCUUGACAUAGUUUCCUUAUACAUGUUAUUACAUUUAUAGUUUAAAAUGUCAAUUCCUUCUAGCUGUAUUGAGGCUACAAAAUCGUCAACAGUUGCACUUGGAGUAUUGUUAUAUUCUCCUAAAAGAAGAAUAACACCUUUAGGGACAGCUCUUAACAACUAUUUUAAACUCCUCAGGAGUGAAUGUAACAUUGUGUUCUCAUGAAUUCUGGAUAAUCAUAUAGUUGUCCAUCAUUAUUCAAUAAUUGUUUAACCCAGAUAAUGUUGUUGUCAAACCAGUUCUGGAAAAACAAAGACUUGUUUUUGUAUUUUAUGUCUUUUAUUAUUCGAGAUUGUAUAUCUAUGUGGUGAAAAAUGUUUGUACAUGAGGUUCCAAGUUAGAAGUACUUGUUUAUGAAAGUUAGCAAGCUUAAUAGGGAUCUUACCCACAUCAAAGUUGCAUUUGAGUAAGAAUUCUUGACCACCAAUCUGUUGGAAUAUUAAAUGAGGGAUUAUAUUCCUAAUGCAAUCCUUAUUUCUUAACUUGUGUGACCAAUAAAUAAAAAAUCUCUAAAGUUCCAUGGGAUAAUGUAACAGAGCUGUUACUAUUAUUGUAAAGUGUCUUAAUUACACUUUUAAAAUAUUGACCAAAACCAAAAAGUCAAAAAGUAAAUAAUGUUCAACUGUAUCAAAAGCCUUGUAAAAGCCUUCAAAUAAAAUAAAGCUAUCUUCCAUAA